UUAAAUUGACCAUGAGGAGGAAAAAAUGAUGCUACUCCCUACUAGGGGCGUGCAAACAGUUGGUUUAGUUCCGAACCAAACCAAUAAAAUUGAAAACUGAAAUUUAAUAAAAAUUCGAAUUGAACUGAACUGAUGACAUAGGAAUAACUUAACCGAAACGACAAAUAUCUGUUUGGUUUGGUUUAAAGCAAACCGAUUAAAACAAAUUGAUUAAUUGAAAUUUUGAUUGCAUAUAGAUCUGAAGGACAGUCAAGAUUGAUAAACAGAUUUAAAGCAUCCAACAUGCAAAUAGCCAAAUACCUUUGCUAAAAUAGAUUUGAAGUAUCCAAAAUUUCAAUUAAAGCUUAUUAAACCAAAAACAACAUGUUAUAGAAGAAUUUCCCAACCUAAAUGAUGAAAUUUCAAUCAUAGAGCAUAUACAUCAUCGCAAAUUCACAAUCCAACAAAUCAAGUACCCAAGUAUAGAUCAAUUUACCAGCAUAUGAGAGAGAAAAAGUAUAAAAGAAAAGUGUUGGUGUUGGCGCUAGAAGCUGAUGAAGACUGCGAGAAGCCGUGAACCCAUGCCUUAGUCAUCAAAGCGUAAGCAACUCACAUGCAACAAUUGAUGAACGUUGUUGAGGAGGCUGGUUGAUGGCGGGUCUUGCAAUCUCCUUAGGUCUGGUGACCUGAGAUGGAAGGGAUUGGAACCACAAUGAACGAUGGUGAGGACCAGGGUGGAGGGAUGAGGACAAGGACGAGAGUGGAGAGGUGAGAGGGACGAGAGUCGAUUUGUAAGCCUCCAUUGGCUGAUGGAUUUAGAACAGACAAAGGAGAAGGAGCAGAGAGGGAGUGGGCGGCAGAAAGAAGGAUUAGGUUUAGGAAGGGAAAAAUGCUUGUGUGUGUGUGUGUGUGUG
rnacentral:misc_RNA from 1 species